UACAGAGGGUGCGAGCGUUAAUCGGAAUUACUGGGCGUAAAGCGUGCGCAGGCGGUUCGUUGUGUCGGCGGUGAAAGCCCCGGGCUUAACCUGGGAAUGGCCGUUGAAACUGGCGAACUGGAGUGUGGCAGAGGGGGGUGGAAUUCCGCGUGUAGCAGUGAAAUGCGUAGAGAUGCGGAGGAACACCGAUGGCGAAGGCAGCCCCCCUGGGCUAACACUGACGCUCAGGCACGAAAGCGUGGGGAGCAAACAGG
rnacentral:rRNA from 1 species